CCAAUAAGAGGUCCCUAGGUCCAGAGGUCCAAACCCUUCAGUUCUAUCAUCCAACCGUGGCUUUAUCUUCAAUUAACCCUCCUACUUCACUUCUGGCCUUUCUCUGGUUGUGUUUUGUACUACUCCCACAGCAAAAAAAUUUAUCCAACUAUAACAUCCCUACCUUUUAUGGAUAAGGAACGCAUUCCCCACUAUUGGCGGUUGUAAUAUGAUGGCAUCGUUUGGCUGUAAUAGAAAAGGAAAAGUUCGGAAGAGACCAGGAAUCAAGAUGAAACCUUAGCUUUCGAUGUGGGACCAACUUAGGGAGAUAAGGAUCGUGCGGAAGAAUCAAUCAGACAGGCAAACUAUUUCUUUUAGAAAAAUUUGACAUCUAAUCCUCUACUUUUUGACGUUACCAAUCAUCUAAUAUUACUUUUGAGAAAGACUGUUUUCAAUUUGUCUUAAACUAAUGAUACCUAAUUCGAAUUCGUCAGGAAACGAAACGGUGACGUUUUAAACAACCUUGGUCAUCGUGCCAAUGGUUGCAUAGCUAUCCGUGCCAUGCACAACACACCCUCCCAAAUUCCGACACGUAUCGAGAAAAGUGCCAUCCAUAAUAGCCACGUGGCAAGGACGUGCCUUGUCAUCGGAAGCGUUCACGAGCAUCCACGUGUAAAUAUUCAUAAAUCAUAAGCCGUCCGCUUGAUCCAAGCGAUGAAGUUAACUUAGCCUCAACAAGUUGAAUCUCAUCAACCAUCUAGAAGCUCGCCACGUGGC
rnacentral:lncRNA from 1 species